UACAUAGGUCCCGAGCGUUGUUCGGAUUCACUGGGCGUAAAGGGUGCGUAGGUGGUGAGGUAAGUCGGAUGUGAAAGCUCCAAGCUCAACUUGGAAAUGGCAUUGGAAACUACCUUGCUAGAGGGUUUGAGGGGGGACUGGAAUACUUGGUGUAGCAGUGAAAUGCGUAGAUAUCAAGUGGAACACCAGUGGCGAAGGCGAGUCCCUGGAAAACUCCUGACACUGAGGCACGAAAGCUAGGGGAGCAAACAGG
rnacentral:rRNA from 1 species